ensembl:lncRNA
CUAACUCCUGUGAUUAAGGAUUAUUUGAAACAACCCAAACCUUUGUUUACAUCUCUUCCAUUCAUUCAUGUGGAAAGUUUGUUGCUUUAGCUUUCUAAUUGUAAAAGACAGCCGGUUGCAGUUUAGUGUGCCUGUCUUGUCUAGAUAAAUAAGUGUGUAUUUAUCUGUAUCACCUAGUGCAUGUGUUGGCAUGUGUGAGUGUGUGCAUGCUGCUGAUAUCGCAGGGUUUGCAAACAGGAGUACUGCUGGCUGUGGACCAAGAGGAGGUUUACAUGGGGCUGGGCCACGAGGGCUCAAACCACCUUACUGCCCCUAUCCAGACACCCUCCUCCCAAUCCAACCUGCCCCUUGCUCCUCAGCCCGCCCAGCCCACCGCCACCACAACCAGUACCAGCACCCCUCCUCCACUCUCAGCCACUCACAUGCACCCUCUUUUCUCUCUCCUUCCUGCCGUGUGCCAUUCCUCCCUCUCUCUCUCUCUCUCUCUGCACUCACCCAAAGUGGCCAGAUCUCUCCUCUCUUUCUCUUGUCCUGUCUGCAUCCCUCCACCACUCUUUCUUUCUCUUCCUCCACGCCGACCAGCCCGAGUCUGUUCACAUUCACCUCCACAAGUUGAAAGGAUCUCAACCCACCGCUUUCCCAAACUUCCUCCGGCCAAAGACUUUAUUUUCAUUCUUGACCUUUUUUGGAUCCCUCAACAUUUUACUACCGUAGACGCCGGUUGGUGUGUGUUAGGUCUCCGGUGUUGUGCCCCUGGGGACGUCUCUGUGGGUUUUGACUGGCGAGAAGAGCGGAGAAGAGUUUUUUUUGACACAAUGAAAGUUCAGCUGCUGCUCCUGUCGGCCCUUGUUGGCCUUUUGUGCGCCUUCACAAGUGCAAAUGGGACAAAAUAAGAGACUACCAUGACACAGAUGGUCUUCUGAGCUCUGACAAAGUGCGUUUUAGAUAUUAAACAUCAGUCAAGAAAACAUAUGAAACUACAGAAAUACAAAUGAACUCAGAUGUUUUAAACUGCAUAUCGUCUUCUUUUUUUUUACCUUUUCAAAGAAACUUUCAUGCUUUCUCCCUGUGACCCCACCCUCCUGUGACUGCACGGAUUAAGUGUCUGAUGGUUAACAAGCCUGCCUGCGCUCUGCUUACACAUGCGGCAGUGGCUCCCUCCACAGGAAAUAAGUCAGAGCAUGUGGCAUGCAAGUUCGCAAACACGAGGCCCUGAAGACCGG